CCCUACGGACACAGCAGUGGGGAAUAUUGCACAAUGGGGGGAACCCUGAUGCAGCGACGAAGAGUGAAGGAAGAAGUAUUUCGGUAUGUAAACUUCUAUCAGCAGGGAAGAAAAAGGACGGUACCUGACUAAGAAGCCCCGGCUAACUACGUGCCAGCAGCCGCGGUAAUACGUAGGGGGCGAGCGUUAUCCGGAUUUACUGGGUGUAAAGGGGGCGCAGACGGCCAUGGCAAGCCCGGUGUGAAAGGUGCGGGCACAACCCGCAGACUGCACUGGUAACUGCCUGGCUGGAGUGCCGGAGGGGG
rnacentral:rRNA from 1 species